rnacentral:rRNA from 1 species
GGUGGCUAUAGCGGCGGGGCCAUACCUGUUCCCAUCCCGAACACAGAAGUCAAGCCCGCCUGCGCCGAUGAUACUUGGAGGGCGACCUCCCGGGAAAGUAGGACGUUGCCGGUU